rnacentral:rRNA from 1 species
UACGGGGGGGGCAAGCGUUGUUCGGAAUUACUGGGCGUAAAGGGCUCGUAGGUGGCCAACUAAGUCAGACGUGAAAUCCCUCGGCUUAACCGAGGAACUGCGUCUGAUACUGGAUGGCUUGAGUUUGGGAGAGGGAUGCGGAAUUCCAGGUGUAGCGGUGAAAUGCGUAGAUAUCUGGAGGAACACCGGUGGCGAAGGCGGCAUCCUGGACCAAUACUGACGCUGAGGAGCGAAAGCCAGGGGAGCAAACGGG